UCACAAAACCAAAGAGAGAAAAAGAGUGACGGUGAGGCAAAAGAGGAUAGUGAGAGAGAAAUAUGGCUCGUGUUAUUUUUAAAUUUGUUUGGGACGAAAAUAUAUAAUAAAAGGUGGUUCAAUGAAUUUAAGGGGUUAGUAGAAAGACUUUCGAAAAUUUUGAUGCUUUUAAAUCAUACACGAAAUUAGCAUCUAUGAAUAUAUUUUCCCAAGAUUAUAUAUUCUCUAAAAAUUAAAAUCAAAUUAUAUUUAAAAACUAUAUUUAUUUCCAAGCCCGUAUCUCUACAAUAUGAGGGUUGGUAGUAUAGAAACCAUGUCCUAUAAAUUCUUCAUUUUUACUGCUCAUCAUUCGAUUCCAAAUCUGUGGAUGUCUAAUCCAUAGUUACCGAGCCUUCUCAAAGGCACAUAUCGGCUCCAUGAGCACAGUUCCG
rnacentral:lncRNA from 1 species